rnacentral:rRNA from 1 species
UACGUAGGGUGCGAGCGUUAAUCGGAAUUACUGGGCGUAAAGCGUGCGCAGGCGGUUCGUUGUGUCGGCGGUGAAAGCCCCGGGCUUAACCUGGGAAUGGCCGUUGAAACUGGCGAACUGGAGUGUGGCAGAGGGGGGUGGAAUUCCGCGUGUAGCAGUGAAAUGCGUAGAGAUGCGGAGGAACACCGAUGGCGAAGGCAGCCCCCUGGGCUAACACUGACGCUCAGGCACGAAAGCGUGGGGAUCAAACAGG